AGGUCAUUAUCAAAGUUUUUAGAACACUGUUUCUCAAUUGCCAUGGACAUGACCUUAAAGAAAAAUUCUCUUUAGAAUUUUAGGAGACAAUU
rnacentral:snoRNA from 1 species